UAUUUGCUAACAGAUGAACUAUCCCUGGGUGCAUUCAUUUCCAUAAAUCGGUUUCUUAUCAUUACUUCCUCUCCAGCACAUGCUGCUGCUACCCUUACUUCUUCUUCUGAUAGACCCUGUAGUCUUGCAGCUGUAGCUGCAGCAUUUGCCGCCUCCUCUACUUCCUGUUGAUUCUUAGCAGCUGUUAUUUUACUUCCCAGU
rnacentral:misc_RNA from 1 species